AUCGACGGCGGUGUUUGGCACCUCGAUGUCGGCUCAUCACAUCCUGGGGCUGAAGUCGGUCCCAAGGGUAUGGCUGUUCGCCAUUUAAAGUGGUACGCGAGCUGGGUUCAGAACGUCGUGAGACAGUUCGGUCCCUAUCUGCCGUGGGCGUUGGAUGAUUGAAGGGAGUUGCUCCUAGUACGAGAGGACCGGAGUGAACGAACCUCUGGUGUUCGGGUUGUCACGCCAGUGGCACUGCCCGGUAGCUAAGUUCGGAAUCGAUAACCGCUGAAAGCAUCUAAGCGGGAAGCGAGCCCUGAGAUGAGUCAUCCCUGACCCCUUGAGGGUCCUAAAGGGCCGUUGGAGACCACAACGUUGAUAGGCGGGGUGUGUAAGUGCAGCGAUGCAU
rnacentral:rRNA from 1 species